rnacentral:tRNA from 1 species
GGACCCGUAGCUCAGCUGGAUAGAGCGUCGCCCUCCGAAGGCGAAGGUCACGCGUUCGAAUCGCGUCGGGUCCG